rnacentral:rRNA from 1 species
UGGGGAAUAUUGGACAAUGGGGGAAACCCUGAUCCAGCGACGCCGCGUGUGUGAAGAAGGCCUGCGGGUUGUAAAGCACUUUCGGUGGGAACGAAAUAUGCCGGGCUAAUACCCCGGUAGGCUGACGUUACUCAAUGAAGAAGCACCGGCUAACUCCGUGCCAGCAGCCGCGGUAAUACGGAGGGUGCGAGCGUUAAUCGGAAUUACUGGGCGUAAAGCGUGCGUAGGCGGCCCGCCAAGUCAGAUGUGAAAGCCCCGGGCUCAACCUGGGAACGGCAUUUGAUACUGCUUAACUAGAGUAUGGUAGAGGGAAGUGGAAUUUCCGGUGUAGCGGUGAAAUGCGUAGAUAUCGGAAGGAACACCAGUGGCGAAGGCGACUUCCUGGGCCAAUACUGACACUGAGGUGCGAAAGCGUGGGUAGCAAACAGGAUUAGAUACCCAAGUAGUCCCUGAGCGGGCUGGCAAGGCGCAU